GCUCAUUUCAGAAGCAUAUACUAAAAUUGUAAUAAUACAGAGAAUAUUAUCAUGGCCCCUUGCACAAGGAUAACACAAAUUUGUGAAAUGCUCUAUAUUUUU
rnacentral:snRNA from 1 species